GCCGGGACAGCUGCGGCUCAGAGUGGUGUGCUCGCUGCACUUUCGUGAAUCGGCAUUCCUGCGGCCCGGUUUUCUUUGUCAAGACGCAGUACCUACGGUAUUUCCUGUCAUCGCAGGCGCCGGAGCUAACCAUGACAACACGUGUGGUGACCGUGGCCAGCAUCGUGUCCAGGCUUCAAAGACUGAAGAGUCGGGUUCGCCAGGCCACGUGAACUCGUACCUCCCAGAAAACGCCUUGUCCACGGGCUGCCAAGCGAAUGAGACGGCCGCGCGGAAAG